rnacentral:snRNA from 1 species
AGCUUUGUGCAGUGGCAGUAUUGUAGCCAAUGAGGUUCAUCUGAGGCAUAAUUAUUGUUAAUUGAAAACUUUUCCUAAACACUAAAAUUCAUGAAAAUAGAUUUCUAAUUUUUGACAAAAUUUAGAUU